CCUACGGGGGGCAGCAGUGGGGAAUAUUGGGCAAUGGAGGAAACUCUGACCCAGCAACGCCGCGUGAAUGAUGAAGGUCUUCGGAUUGUAAAGUUCUUUUCUAAGGGAAGUAGAAAGUGACGGUACCUUAGGAAUAAGCCUCGGCUAACUCCGUGCCAGCAGCCGCGGUAAUACGGAGGAUCCGAGCGUUAUCCGGAUUUAUUGGGUUUAAAGGGAGCGUAGAUGGGUUGUUAAGUCAGUUGUGAAAGUUUGCGGCUCAACCGUAAAAUUGCAAUUGAUACUGGCAGUCUUGAGUACAGUUGAGGUAGGCGGAAUUCGUGGUGUAGCGGUGAAAUGCAUAGAUAUCACGCAGAACCCCGAUUGCGAAGGCAGCAUACCGGCGCCCUACUGACGCUGAGGCACGAAAGUGCGGGUAUCGAACAGGAUUAGAUACCCUUGUAGUC
rnacentral:rRNA from 1 species